AUUCAACGACCAGCUCAGAACUGGCACGGACCGGGGGAAUCCGACUGUCUAAUUAAAACAAAGCAUUGCGAUGGCCCCAGCGGGUGUUGACGCAAUGUGAUUUCUGCCCAGUGCCUUGAAUGUCAACGUGAAGAAAUUCAAUGAAGCGCAGGUAAACGGCGGGAGUAACUAUGACUCUCUUGUGGCUCGCCAUCUCUGGGCAACUUCCCAGGGGUGGCGAGAAGUAUGCCGGAACUUUGACGUAGUACAAGAGCUUAAUCCCUGGAAAGGGAAACUAAUACCGGCCUCUGCGACUCAGGGGCCGUCGGGAUAGCACCCCGGCGGCCUGCAUCAGCUUAUCGCUACAAGUAGAAGUACAACAGCCUCGGACGUGGGACGGCAUGGCCCCGCCACCCACGACUCUUCGGGGGCCACUGGAGACGACCCAAGCGACCACCUGGACAACCCAAAGGACAGCGAUCAGGAGAAGACGAUGACGCCCCAGACGUUCACCAUCGUGCUGCCGUAUUCACCCCAGGACUGCAAGCACUGCACCGGGAGAGGACGAUACCGCGGACUUACUGACGGAGACCUGGAAAAGCACCACACUGCGAAGCACAAAGACGCACCGCUGCAGUUUAUCUGUCGCAUUUGCCAGAAAGUCUACGAGAAGAAGUUCAGCCUACAGUGUCACAUCCCGAAGUGCCCAGGAAGAAAGAACAGCCAAGCAGUGGCUCACAUCUGCAGCUCCUGCGGAAGAGGGUUCGCCACAAAGACGGGCUUGAGUCAACACGAACGGCAUGAGCACCCAAUCCUGAGGAACCAACGCCGAGCUGCGUCAGCAACGCAAAGUUCAACGCAGCCUCGCCCCCCCAGGAGUGGAAGAGGUUUCAGCGCGGAGGAGGUAGAGCUCAUGCUGGAAAUGGAACUCGCCCAGCUUGGGCACCCGGACCUACCAGCAGAGAUGGCACAGAGGUUCAGCAAAUCGAGGACCCAGAUCAAGAAUAAGAGACUGGAGGCGGCGUACAAGCGGAGGCUCGAGGAGAGGAUAGCGCGAAGACAACGGCCGGAAACGGAGCAGUCUAGCGAGGAAGAAGACGACGUUUUCCUCCCACCAGAUGAAGAGCCAGGAGAGAGAGACGAGACUGAACGAGGAGAUGAGAGACAACCAGAAGCUAGCGAGGAAGCGGUCGAGGAAGUGCUCCAAGAGGCGGCUGAAUCGCAAGAGGCGGAGGUACGAGGAGCAGUUGCGGCCUACGCGGAGGAUUGCUGGAGGGAGAGGAUGUGCAGAUACGUCCUCAACUGGGACGUGAGCUCAGAGACGCAAGCGGACCAGGACCUCGCCUUCGCGAUCAAGCAAGCCGUAAUUGUGCCUUCGCAAGAAACCACG
rnacentral:rRNA from 1 species